AAGUCGUAACAAGGUUUCCGUAGGUGAACCUGCGGAAGGAUCAUUAACAAAUCCGUGGUUGUGUGAGUUUUUACUCGCAUAAUUUCAACCGGAUCUCCGAGAGGAGAUUCGCCUGUAGUAGGACUGAACUGUUCUCUGCAGAAAUAGGCUAUGAUGGUUAUGUCUUAUAAAAUUAUAAAAAUAAUUACAAAUAACUUUUAACAAUGGAUCUCUUGGCUCUU
rnacentral:misc_RNA from 1 species